UACGGAGGAUCCAAGCGUUAUCCGGAUUUAUUGGGUUUAAAGGGUGCGUAGGCGGCUUUUUAAGUCAGGGGUGAAAGACGGUAGCUCAACUAUCGCAGUGCCCUUGAUACUGAAGAGCUUGAAUGAACUAGAGGUAGGCGGAAUGUGACAAGUAGCGGUGAAAUGCAUAGAUAUGUCACAGAACACCGAUUGCGAAGGCAGCUUACUAUGGUUUAAUUGACGCUGAGGCACGAAAGCGUGGGGAUCAAACAGG
rnacentral:rRNA from 1 species